CCUACGGAGGGCAGCAGUGGGGAAUAUUGGACAAUGGGCGAAAGCCUGAUCCAGCCAUGCCGCGUGUGUGAAGAAGGCCUUCGGGUUGUAAAGCACUUUCAGUGGGGAAGAAAGCCUUGGGGCUAAUACCCUCGAGGAAGGACAUCACCCACAGAAGAAGCACCGGCUGAACUCCGUGCCAGCAGCCGCGGUAAUACGGAGGGUGCGAGCGUUAAUCGGAAUUACUGGGCGUAAAGCGCGCGUAGGCGGUCUGAUAAGCCGGUUGUGAAAGCCCCGGGCUCAACCUGGGAACGGCAUCCGGAACUGUCAGGCUAGAGUGCAGGAGAGGAAGGUAGAAUUCCCGGUGUAGCGGUGAAAUGCGUAGAGAUCGGGAGGAAUACCAGUGGCGAAGGCGGCCUUCUGGACUGACACUGACGCUGAGGUGCGAAAGCGUGGGUAGCAAACAGGAUUAGAUACCCGGGUAGUC
rnacentral:rRNA from 1 species